CAUCACUCUAUUCACAGUCUGCAUUACGAUCUGUACGAUUGAAUCUUAUUUUGAUAUCAUCAAAAUAUAUCGAACAGAACGUGAUAUGCUCCGUAGUUAUGUAUACUUUCACUAUAGAUCCUUCAAGCUGUGCCUCAUUGUACACAUAUUUUUUUAGGAUACACAAGAAUCUAUAAAUAAAAAUAAAUUUAAAUUUAAUUAAUAUAUUUAUAUCUUAUAACUGAUAUGAUAAAGAGAUUAUGAUUUCUUUACCUUUCAAUAGGAAACAUCUAUCGAUAAUGUACUGAUCCGACCAAAGAGCUUUCUUUAAGAGAUGAACAACCAGGUACACCAUAAUAUCAAAAAAUGAUGGUAAAAUUUUUUUUCUAACUUAUAAAAAAUUAGCACAAUAUCCUUCUCAAACUUCUCAAGUAAGUUAAUCUUCAAUUUUUAACAAUACAGUUCUCGAAAGAAUACUUCCAACUCAAUCAAUGCAGCUUGAACAUCGCCACUCAGAUAGCCACAUAUGACCAUAGGAAGCAAGUGCUGUAUCAUCACAUAAGAGUCAUAACUUUUCAUGCCAGA
rnacentral:lncRNA from 1 species